UUGAAAUCUGGCAUUUGAUGAGUCAGCCUGGGAGAAACUGGAAACACAUUGUGAGAGGUACCUUCUGUGAAAAAAGUGCAACUUUGUGACAUGAUAUGCCUGCCUGACGGUAUAUCCCUGAGCAGCAUACAGCUUAUUACUGCAUAAAAGAAACAUUAUCAAGAUAAUUUUGAAUCAGAUUGUGUGCUGGAAAAAUGGCCUUACAUUCAAAGGAGUGAAAUUUGGAGAG
rnacentral:lncRNA from 1 species